ensembl:lncRNA
GUCAUGCUCAGUCUCCAAAAGCCUUUCCCAGGUGGCAUGAAAGAGGAAACAGCCUUUGCUACCUCCCAGGGAAAUACACUGCAGGAACAAGACCUCUUCCUCUUGACUCAACUUUGAAGAUGCGGCACUGAACAUCUUAGCAGCUGCAUGAGCCAUAAUCAUCAGAGAAUCACUCAGGGACCACAAUGGGAACAUGUUAUCACACACGUUCCAUGUGGUGGAACAUCUGUGGUGGGCUCUUAGCAACCUCAGCCAGCUCCCUGCUGCUCCAGGUGGUCCCUGCGAAGGCCAGCACAGCCUGGCACUCUUCUAGCUUUCAGCAGCCAGGCAUGGAAGAACUGCUCAAACUGCAGAAAAGUCUGCAUUAUGUUACCUCCAACAGAAACACCACAUUUCUGGCAAGAAGUGUUUCUUCAGAAGAAGGAGAAAUAGUCUACCAACUUUAGAGUGAGAAAAGAACAGCUGGUUGAACAGUACUUACCCAAUGUUGUUUCCAAGCAGCUGGAACCAGAGACUGAAAUCAGAAAACACACUGUCCACACCUGCUACACUGUGGACUGAAAUCUGUACAUCCAUACUUCUGCUGAGCAUGCAAAUAAAGAGAACAGCACAGACUAGCAUGAGAAGGUGAUCUUCCAUCUGGAGGACGUUUCCUGGGACAGGGACCAGUAGUCCCCUGAGGGACCGUGUUGCCAGAAGGCUGCUGGAGGAGUUGGAGUGUGGAGGAAGCAGCUGGAAAAUAAUCCAGAUGAUGAAAAGGCUGGGCUGUGCCAAGAGCUGCUGGGGCAGAAGGAACACUGCAACAGAGCUGCCAAGUGCAUUAACAGGGUAAGGCUUCUGCAAGCUGCAAGGCAUGGAGUGGUGAAAUGUGAGUCCCCCAUUGAAGAAAAAGUUCAAGACACAGCUCUCAGUGAUGUGCGCUGCCUUUUGGGAUAGGAAAGGGGUGAUUCUUCUGGAUUUCCUGGAACACAGAACAACACCAUCAAGUCUGAUCGCUACAUCACGAUGCUGACUAAGCUGAAACCUUGAACUUUCAGAAUCAGUCCAGAGAAGAAAUCUUUCUCUUGCAACAUGACAAUGCCAGGCCCCACAUCUGUUUGAAAACCACAGAGCACAUUGCCCAUCUUGUCUGGACCAUCCUAGCACAUCCACCAUGUAGUCUGGAUUUGGCACCUUCUAAUUUCCAUCUGUUUGGGCCAAUGAAAGAUGGACUGCAUGGGCAACAUUGUCCUAGCAACAAUGCCACCAUAGCAGCUGUGAAACAGUGUGUCACCUCCGCUGGUACAGAUUUUUAAUGAACACGGAAUUCAGGCUUGUGUUCAUUGCUGGCAAAAAUACAUAGCUCAUGGUGAUGGCUAUGUUGAAAAAUAUAAUUUUGUAGCUGAGAUUUUAUUCUAUCAAGUGGUGUUAUUGUGCUCUUUGCAUCUGUUGCAGUUUACAUGCGAAUAAAUAGGAAGCAUUACUUUCGGAGCAACCUACAUAUAUCGUAUGCUUGAAAAUGUAUCUUUCUUCUAAAAACAACUAGCAAAGGUGAGUGCCUUAUACAUCUGUUUUAGGAAUGACAGGUGGAAUGAGGGAAAUAUGGAAAAACCAUGGCCACCUUUUGCCAUUUUGAGAAGGGAGAAAUUUUUCACUCAGUCCUCCUCCUUGGCCAUGGGAGAAAUCUGGUAUACAGCACUGGAGUUCAAAGUAUAAGGGCCAUGCACAAACCACUGGUGUCUCAAGACCACUGAGUAGCAUUUCAGAUCUCCUAUAUUUUUUCAAAAAUUCUCACAGCUAUCCUUAAUUCAAUUCUGGGACUAUGUAAGCAAGCAUUUCUUCCUGACUAAAUAAUACAUGAAAUGAUACUUGCAGUGUAUAUUACAGCAACAGUUAGUUUGGAAAGAGCUCUGCAGUCCAGGAAGGCAUCUUUUCUGCUUCUUCCGACUCCAUUGUACAUUAUGGAGCAUCACAACCUCCUUCUGAACAAAACUUGCACAGCCUCUGGGUCAUGUAAGAAAGAGUGGUUUGGUAGACCACAGCAGGAGUGAGAAUGAAACUCUUGGAAGUCCUGACUUUGGGUUUGUUGAGCUGAUUAGGGAGCAAAACUCUGAACUGAGAGCAGUAGCUGUUGACUUUGUAAUGGGUAUUAAAGAAAUGCUGGUCACGGACCAGUGUUCAUUUUCGUCAGUCUUUAGUCCAUAGUGGGCUGGGAGGAGAAAGAAAUGGAGAGGAGAAAGCAGGGUGGGAAAAAGCAAUAUUCCUUUGUAAAGAAAUGAUGAAGCAGUUAUGUUUGCAUCUUAAGAGCUUAUUCCAAGAUUGAUGACUAGCUGGAGGAGAGCUGAUGACUUAUGGCAGUAUUUGAAUAUUGCACUGAAUUUAUGUUACUUGGCAACAGUAACAUGCAUUAACAAAGCAGCAUGCCUCCUGGCUGGUCCAGCCUGUGUCCCUUCAAUCAAGCAUACUGAUGUGCCAGGCACAGCUUAUAUCUGAGGCCUCUAUUAAAUUCCUUGUAAAAUUUCAGUGCAGCUGCUUCUCACAAAGUUAAAGGCUAUUUUAACCAUAUUUCUUUUCAAAAACACUCUUCAUAACUCAGGAAGGACCCUUGCUUCUCCUUCAGGGCCGUGAAAGGCUUAGCGCAUCUGGUGUUAUUAUGCCUCCCUGAUGGGUCCAAGGCACUGUGUUCUGCCAGAAUGGAAGUGGGGUUUGAUGGGCUUUUGCUGCAUCCCAGGCAUUUGUCCUUUCCAUCAUAGGUGGGAGACAAGUUUUUCUCAAAGUGUUAAGGGGCAUCCGUACAGAAAAAAAUCACAAAAAAGAACUGUAUUAACUAGGAAUAGCUGAUCUUCACCAGUAACGUUUUUCCCAUGAACUUGCCUGUCUGUCAGGACAAUUUUCUUAGGUUGUAUCUUUUUUAAUUAUAAGAAAUCUAAAUAAAUGAACAGCAAGCCAAAACCCAGCAUUACAUUUGCAGUUUCACCAGGGACUGCUCAGAGCAAAGAUAAUCAAAGCAGCUCCAGACUUCUCAGAGACAUCUUCAGGUAAAUCAUAAUCCCUCCACCCCCCACUCUGCUCUCUGUGGUGUGGUGAAGGAAGGAUUUGUGUAAUGCUCAUCCCUGUCCAGGUUUUGGGGGGGUUGGAGAGGGUGAGGGUACUGCUGUGAAGCUGAAUGUAGCUCGGUUCUGGAGAAGACACCCAUUUGACCAUGUUCAUGUGCUUCUCUCUCUGAGCAGAGUAUUAGAAACAGUCUGUGGGAGAAGUUGGAAAGUUGUGCGCUUCUGUUACUUUGCUGCUGGUGGGAACGUACUGAUUGAAAGGAGAAAUGUGUAACAUGUGUCACUGCAGAUUGGUUCAGUGUGGUGUUUAGAGCCAGAUUAAAAACACAUACCCUUGAAAAAAAGAGGCCAUUAAACUCAGAAGCUUUACGUGGCGGCGAUUUUAGAAGCUGAUGGUGUCCACGUCAGAGGAAGUAAAUACCCCAAAAAUUCCACAAGAGAAGGGUUACCCUGAGACUUCUGAAUGUCAUUCCCAUUGCUUCUUCAUUGAAAACCCUUGUCUCUACUUAGAAACUGGACUGAGCAAAUCACUUAAGAGACCAGAAAUCUGGUGACUCUGAAGGGCCGAUUUAGAGAUUCCAGAGUUUGGAAUUCCAAGGUGAACUGGGCAUGUCAGCUUAACUUAGAAAUUGAACAGUUUUUGCUUUUACAAGGAAUAAAUAUUGGCUGCUUGACUUUUUGAACAUUUUUUCCUAAAUAAAUGACAAGAAUUGCAAAGCUCUAGUUGGAAAAAAUGUGUUUUGUUUUCUCUUGUCUCUUCGUCACUGAACCAGGAGUACAGUGGGAAGACAAUGGGAAAGCAAAUGCCUCCAAACCUAAUGUAGCAGUGAAAACAUGGAAAUAAAAAGCUUCUUGAAUGUGUUCUUAUCAUAACGUGCCUGGGAUAGCAAGUGUUUCUUUGAAAAAACACUGAAAAUACGUUUGGACAGAAGACAGUUUGCACAGACAGAAAUCUGCACAGAACAGGAUCGUUGUCUUUCAUGGCAAUUGAAAGAUCUCUGAUGAAGAGUGCUGCAGUUCCUGCAAUCAGUAUAAGUUCUGGGUAAAUCAAAAUGCUACCUGAGCUGUCUUCCUCAGUCAGCAGCCUGCACCUGCCUUCUUGUAUGACUCUUGUGGAAAACUCUCUCGGGCCCCUACCUACUGUGAGUAUGAUAUAUGUCGUAAUAUACAGUGAUAAUUAAUAAUGAUAAUCUGGCAAGAAUGAGGUUAGAAGUUAGGACUUUCUGAUGUCUAUACCAAGAUGUUUGGUGUGGAAUAUGCACACACAAAGCAUAUUGAAUGCCAGCGCAGCAGUAGAUGUAUGUAAAGGUCUUUAAGGGUGAUCACCCUUACCAGACAGAGUGAGGCAGUGGGUCAUUCAAUAAAAAUGCCUUUUACAUCUAAGUGCAAGAAGAAGGGA